GCGCCCAGGCAAAGCAAACUUUCCUGUAACCCACACAUUUGUUGUUAUCUCACGGAAGAGCCACAAAGAUCUCCCACAAAAUCAGGUUGCCAUGGUUUCUGGUGAUGCCUCUCCAUAGCCUGCACUGUUUUAGCAUGUACAGCCUGUGGGAUUCCUCUGUUUAUUCCCCCUGCUACAUAGUCUAAGAGAGUUUCCAUUCCUAACAAACACAGAAUAAUGGGUUCCCUCUGUCAAGACAUAUGUGUUUUCUGGUGCUCCUGCUGUCAGACGAAACCUGAACAAAACAAUCAAACUCCUGUCAUGGCAGGGCAACAGCCCCAAAUUGUGGUCAAUGUGCAGGCUAAUCCUGUCAUGACGGCUAAUCAAAACCCAGCUAUGUUUCACAACUCUCCUCAAAACCCUCCUUGGUUUCAAAGCCGUCCUCAGAAUCCUACUGGGUAUCAAAACCCUCCUCAAUACACUGCCGGGUUUCAAAAGUCUCCUCCAAAUCCUAUUGGGUUUGAAAAUCAUCCUCCAAAUCCUAUUGGGUUUGAAACUCAUCAUCAAAGUCCUGCUGAGUAUGAAAACCUUUGUCAAAGUCCUGUUGGGUAUCAAAACUCUCCUCAAUGUCCUACAGAGGCCGAUGCUUAUAAUUCCUAACAACAUCUGAGCAAACUUGUAAAUAAUGUAAUCUGCUCAGAUCAGCCAUGAUCAUGUUGGUGUAUAAUGGGAUUCUUUACUCUAUCCAAAAAUUCAUUUGACUGUCAACACAAAAAGUGUUGUGCUUGAGUUGUUUGAGUUCAUGUGUAUAUUUAGAUUAUUAUAAACGUUGUAUAACUACUUCAUUAAUUUGAAUUGGGACAUGUUACGGAAGAAAAAAGUAGAUUUAAACACAACAAUAAUGAAAGAAGAAAUAAAAAAUGAG